AUAUCUUUCUGUACGGGAAGGAUGAGAAGCUUCGACUAAGGUUCGAUUCGAGCGCAGCGAGAAAGCGUUGCCGCAGGCAACGACCCGAAGGGCGAAGCGCGCAGCGCUGAGUCA
rnacentral:sRNA from 1 species